rnacentral:rRNA from 1 species
UGGGGAAUUUUCCGCAAUGGGCGCAAGCCUGACGGAGCAACGCCGCGUGAGGGAGGAAGGCCUGUGGGUCGUAAACCUCUUUUCUCAGGGAAGAAGAUUUGACGGUACCUGAGGAAUCAGCAUCGGCUAACUCCGUGCCAGCAGCCGCGGUAAGACGGAGGAUGCAAGCGUUAUCCGGAAUUAUUGGGCGUAAAGCGUCCGUAGGUGGUUACGAAAGUCAGUUGUUAAAGCCCAUGGCUCAACCAUGGAUCGGCAAUUGAAACUGCGUGACUUGAGUGUGGUAGGGGUAGAGGGAAUUCCUAGUGUAGCGGUGAAAUGCGUAGAUAUUAGGAAGAACACCAGUGGCGAAGGCGCUCUACUGGGCCAUAACUGACACUGAUGGACGAAAGCUAGGGGAGCGAAAG